CCUUGAGCAUGUGACAGGUGGCCCGUCGCGAGGCUCUGAAGCCCGAGCGGAGAGCCCGGUAGAGGGCCUUGCGGAGUCCGAUCAGCUGCUGGCCUCGGGGUGCCAACGCUCCCAGCCCCGCCCUGCUAAAGGUUUGGACCCCCCAUGCAGCAGUCGGACACAAACGACAACGCCACCGUUUGCAUGCAACCUUACAGGGUGAAUCCUCGCGAGAUGACCUCCGUCUCCUGCACCAGUCGCAGAGCCUUGCGGGACAUCCCCGUCAGCGUCUUGCUGUUGUGGAUCAGCGCGCGAAGCUGCGAGACCCGGGCGUGCACGGCCCGCUGGGCACUGCCCCGCCUCCACAGGGCCGCCGCCCAGCACAGCGUGGCCAGGACCAAGGGGGCGGCCGCCAGCGACCACGCGCCCCCGGACGCCGAGCACAGACCCAGCAGAACUGCCGCCAGGCCCAUCAGACCUGCCAAGUCCCUAAGUGGACACAGGUGUCUUUAUUUGUCUUUUUACCGUACACCCCAAGCUCAUCCCCCAUCAAAAUAAAUGUGAAAACUGGA